AUUGUCGACUCCCGGUUACCCUGGCAACAAGGUCCCCACUUCCAUCGAAGGAAUCAUGCAACGAUUAGAAGCAGGGCAACACCUGGCGAGUGACCGAUGGCCCAGGAGGAGUUUGGGAAGGAUUUGAGCAGCAGACCAUGAAUGAAGCCAGCAAGGAGGAGAAUUGGGCUGACCCUCAGGCCACGCCAGGAUCGUCCUCAGCAAGUUCCAGCCAGUGGACCGCGAGGAGACUGACACGUCGCUUCCGAGCUGAGCCAGUUGAGAGCUGCCGGUGGGAGAUGGAGAGAGCUGCUCCCUCUCAGUCCUCCCAGCCACACGGACCCCGGGGGCCAUGUGCUCUAAAUGGAGGAGGGCUGCCCGUCCUCACGAGCCUUUAGGUGAGUGAGGAGCCAGCCUGGAUGGCGUUUAACCACCGAGACUCCAGGUUUGUCUGUUAUGGCAGCUGGUGUUAAAUACCCCGACACAUUCAGACCCCAGAGUUAGAAGAGAGCAAAGCAACUUGGUAGAUAGGAAGUGAUGGAAUGUCAUGCUUUCAAUAAAAAAUAAGCUGGCUAACAUUUAGUGAAGUUAUUACGAACCAGACAUCGUUCUAAGAACUCUAUCUUCGUUAAAUCACUUAGUCCGCAUCUUCCGUACCUAUGGGACAGGGAUCUAUUAUCAUCAUUCCCAUCUUACAGAUGGGAAAACAGAGGCACAGAGAUGGGCGGUAACUUCCCAAGAUCACACAGCUGGGAAGGGUUGAAGCCAGGAUUUCAGCUCAGACAGCCAGACUCCAGGGUCCACGUGUUCAUCCCUUAUCUAAAGAUGGCCAGCGCAGGAUCCACUGAAAAGCUGCUGUGGGGGUGUGCAGGGCACGCCCGGGAUCCUGCAGUCACAGCGAAGCCGCUGAGGGGGAGGGUGAAGGGGCAAUUGGGGGUGCUCAGAUCUCAGUCACUCCUCAGCUGGGUAACUGUCACAGACUGAGUAACGGCCCCCCAAAGACGCCCACAUCCUGAUCCCCACAGCCUAUAAAUGUGUGACCUUACAUGGCCAAAGGGACUCUGCAGACGUGAUUAAGCCAAGGAUCUCGAGAUGACGGGAUUAUCCUGGAUUCUCUGGGUGGAACCAAUGUCCACACCAGGCUCCUUAGGAGAGGGGGACAGGAGGUCAGGGUGAGAAAAGAUGAUGUGACAACGGAAGCAGAGAGCGAGGUUGGAAGAUGCUACGCUGCUGGCUUUGAGGAUGGAGGAAGAGGCCACAAGCCAAGGAAUGCAGGCAGCCUCUAGAAGGUGGAAAUGGCAAGGGAACAGAUUCUCGCUCGAAGCCUCCAGAAUGAACGCAGACCUGCCCACACCUUGGUUUUAGGACUUCUGGCCUCCAGAACCGUAAGAGAAGAAAUCUGUGUUGUUUGAAGUCACCAAGUCUGAGGCCGUCUGUCGCAGCAGCAACAGGACACGCACACAGUGGCCUUGGCAAGGCCCUUUGAGCUUGCGGGCCUCCAGGGCCUCAUCUGUACGAUAAGGAGAGUGACGUCUUCUCCCUGGCCUGUGGGGAGACUUAAACAAGAUAAUAAAGCGUGAAAAGCCUUGGGAAGUGUCCCACGAAUGAGGAUGGAAUUUCAGUCCACUUCAGCACAUGCGUGACCUCUCUCUGGCUGUUAGCUCUGGGGUCAAUUCUCCUCCUCCCACCACACUAGGUGCUGGGGGAUCUCCUGGCAUGUCCUCCAUGGUCUCCCCCUGCAGACUCAGCUUCUAGAGGAACGGCAGAUGGCUGGCCAGGGGUCAGUGGAUUGGCCAGAGCUCAGGCGGCCGUGGGACAGAACCAGAGUGUCACAUCAGAGAAGACAACAGCUCGUGGUGGCCACUUCUUCCUCCGCAGCUGGCCUGCCCUGUCUACCCCAUCAGGUGGGGUCCUCCAGGUGGCUUGUUAACUAUUGAGGGCACGGGGCAAGCCAGGAAAGCUAAUCGCACCAAGGGGCUCCAGCCGACUCUCAACACACUUGCCUUCUGUUAUGGCCUCUGGCUUCUGCAGAGGGUCAGUCUUCCAGGAGUUCACUCCUCAGCAUUCCAACAGCAUCCAGCACAGCCGGCACAGUUGGCUGGCUACCCACCAGUCACUCCUCCCUUUCUGCCUGCUCCCCCGGAUCCACCCAUUCCCAGGGCAUGAGUCUUGAUUGGUCUAAGCCGGUCCUGGCGUCCCGUGCCCCUGCCAGUGAUGGGUCUAGAGGCGGGCAUGUGACCCGGCUCUGGCCAAUUAAACACACAGGGACGCCUGCUAAGGGAUUCUGGGAAGACUGUCCUCCUAUGAAGAGAGAGCUGGGCAAGGAAAACACCUUUUUUAUCUUCUUUCUCCCCUCUGCUCUGGACACUACUGUCUGAAAUUGUGAUUUCUGGAGCUUCAGCAGCUAUCUUGUGACCUUGAGGGGACAACACUAAGGCUGAAAUAUCAAAAUCUCAAGGAUGGGAAAGCAGAAGGAUGGAAGAGACUUGAUAGCUGAGAUGAUUAAUUUUAUUUGUUCCCUUGAGUAGACUAUGGUGCCCAGAUGUUUGGUCAAACACCAGUCUAGAUGUUGCUGUGAAGGUAUUUUUAGAUGUGACUAGCAUUAGUAGUCUUUGAGUAGAGCAGAUUACCCUCCAUAGUGAGGGUGGGCCUCAUCCAAUCAGUUGAAGACUGAGGUUCUCCCAAGGAAGAAGAAAUUCCAUCUCCAGACGGGCCUUCAGACUUCAGUGGCAAAAGCAACUCUUCCCUUAGUCUUCAGCCUGCUCUGCAGAUUUCAGAUGUGCCAGUCUCCACAAUCACAUUAGCCAAUUCCUUCAAACAAACAAACAAAUCUCUCUACACACACGCAUCCCAUUGGUUCUGUUUCUGCAGAGAAUCCUUCACACAAUGGCUUUGAUGGGACGACUGACCUCAGAACUCCUUGUUAAGUAAAGAAGUGUCCUCAUGGUCUGAGCCACUCUGAGUUGAGUUUUCUGUUCCUUGCAGCCCAAAGCAUCCUCGUUGGUGCACCUGUUCCGUCAGUUCUAUUGCUGUAUGAAAAAUCACCCCAAAGAUAGGUGAGUUAGGGCAACAGCCACUUAUCAUUUCUCGUAAGUCUGUGGGUCAGCUGAGCUCACACGUGCACCUGCCUCAGUUGGUGGGUGGCUGAGAUGAAUGGUCUAGAAUGGUCUCAAAGCCCCGCAUGAGCCUGGAACGAUGAUGAUUGUUAUUCUGCUAUUUAUAGAGGAUGUUACUGGGACAGUUGGCAAAAUCUAAGUCAAGUCUGUAGAUUAGAUCACAGGUUGUAUCGAUUUCCUGAUUUUAAUCAUUGAUUGUGGUUGGGCAGAAGAAUUCCUUUGUAUCGGGGAAUACAUAUGGAUAUUGUAAAGGAAUAGCGUAUGUGCAACUUAGUCUCAAAUGUUUCCGAAAAUAAACAUAUGUAUGUUUCAACUUACUCUCAAGUAUUUCAGAAAAACAAAAGACGCAUGGAUGAUAGAUGAUAGAAGGAUAAAGCAAAUAGGGUAAGAUGUUAUCAUUUGAAGAAUCUAGGUGAAGGUAGACAAGAAUUCAUUGCACUCUUUGCAACUCCCCUGUAAGCCCAGAAUGAAUUUAAAAUAAAAAUUUAAACCAAAAAAAAGGAAAGGAGCCAGGGUGCAAACGUGGUUUAUCUGAUGCAAAUGCCUGGCCUUUUCAGUGGGAGCCCAGUGUUGGAGUCCCAGCUCCCGGAGCCCAGGGGUCCCCUCAGGUCAGCCACAGGCCCUCUCCUACUUAGAAGCAGUCGCUCCUCAACAAAGAUGGCGUGAGGCCUCAUGCCGCUGAGCCGUGAAAGUCUUUUGCAAACUGUCCGGUAUCACGCACACACAGGAGAGCUAUGCAUGUCGUGCUUUUACUGCAGCAAAUCCUGCCUCACUUUCCCUUUGGGAGAAUUUGGGUUUUCGUAGGUGGGAUUUUUUGAAGCUAUGUGCAUCCAUACAAAGGCAGAAUAGGACACUGGGUUCAAAUCCUGGCUUUCCUAUUUAGUGGCCAUAUAACUUGAAGCAACAACUUGAGUUUUCUGUGCCUUGGUUUUCUCAUCUGUAAAAUGCGGAUAAUAAUAGCACAUAUCUCAGAGGGUUGUUACAAAGCUUAAGUGGGCUAUAAAAUGUAUGUAAAAAGUGGAGGAUAGUGCCGGGCACAGAGAUAAUGCUCUGUACCCACCAGCUGUCAUCAUUAGAAUCAUCAUCAUCAAGAUUAAUAAGGUUUCUGUCAAGAACCUGAGCUGUAGAGAGACACACAACCAAGUUUGAACCCCUGAUGGACCUAGCACUUACUAGCUGGUGACACUAAGCUAGUCACUUGUCCCUUCAAACCCUCAGUGUCCUCACCUGUAACACUUUCACCAUCAGGCUAACACAAAGGUUACAUGACAGAAAGCACGAGAUGCACUUAGCCUGGGGCUGGCACACAGGGAGCCUUCACCGAGUUGUCAGGAAAAAAACUUCCUGGAAAACCCAUUAGGAUGGCUACUAUCAAAAAAACAGAAAAUAACAUGGCCAGCCUGGUGGCGCAGUGGUUAAGUUCGCACGUUCUGCUUCGGAAG
ensembl:lncRNA